rnacentral:rRNA from 1 species
AAUGAACGCUGGCGGCAGGCCUAACACAUGCAAGUCGAACGGGUCCUUCGGGACUAGUGGCGGACGGGUGAGUAACGCGUGGGAACAUACCCUUUGGUACGGAAUAGCCUCGGGAAACUGAGAGUAAUACCGUAUGUGCCCUUCGGGGAAGGAUUAUCGCCAAAGGAUUGGCCGCGUUGGAUUAGGUAGUUGGUGGGUAAUGGCCUACCAAGCCGACGAUCCAUAGCUGGUUUGAGAGGAUGAUCAGCCACACUGGGACUGAGACACGGCCCAGACUCCUACGGGAGGCAGCAGUGGGGAAUCUUAGACAAUGGGGGAAACCCGUGAUCUAGCCAUGCCGCGUGAUCGAUGAAGGCCUUAGGGUU